UGGGGAAUAUUGCACAAUGGGCGCAAGCCUGAUGCAGCCAUGCCGCGUGUAUGAAGAAGGCCUUCGGGUUGUAAAGUACUUUCAGCGGGGAGGAAGGGAGUAAAGUUAAUACCUUUGCUCCUCGACGUUACCCGCAGAAGAAGCCCCGGCUAACUCCGUGCCAGCAGCCGCGGUAAUACGGAGGGUGCAAGCGUUAAUCGGAAUUACUGGGCGUAAAGCGCACGCAGGCGGUUUGUUAAGUCAGAUGUGAAAUCCCCGGGCUCAACCUGGGAACUGCAUCUGAUACUGGCAAGCUUGAGUCUCGUAGAGGGGGGUAGAAUUCCAGGUGUAGCGGUGAAAUGCGUAGAGAUCUGGAGAAAUACCGGUGGCGAAGGCGGCCCCCUGGACAAAGACUGGCGCUCAGGUGCGAAAGCGUGGGGAGCAAACAGG
rnacentral:rRNA from 1 species